CAGAAAGGCAGGGGGAUCAAGAUGGAAUCACAGACUCAGGUCUUCCUGUCCCUGCUGCUCUGGGUAUCUGGUACCUGUGGGAACAUUAUGAUGACACAGUCUCCAUCAUCUCUGGCUGUGUCUGCAGGAGAAAAGGUCACUAUGAACUGUAAGGCCAGUCAAAGUGUUUUAUACAGUUCAAACCAGAAGAACUACUUGGCCUGGUACCAGCAGAAACCAGGGCAGUCUCCUAAACUGCUGAUCUACUGGGCAUCCACUAGGGAAUCUGGGGUCCCUGAUCGCUUCAUAGGCAGUGGAUCUGGGACAGAUUUCACUCUUACCAUCAGCAGUGUGCAAGCUGAAGACCUGGCAGUUUAUUACUGUCAUCAAUACCUCUCCUUGCACAAUGCUUCAGCCUCCUACAAAAACCUCCUUGAGGCUCUCACCAACUGCCUGCAUUAA